rnacentral:rRNA from 1 species
AUUGAACGCUGGCGGCAGGCCUAACACAUGCAAGUCGAACGAGUGGCGGACGGGUGAGUAAUGCCUGGGAAACUGCCCGAUGGAGGGGGAUAACUACUGGAAACGGUAGCUAAUACCGCAUACCAUGGGAUGUGCCCAGAUGGGAUUAGCUAGUAGGUGGGGUAAAGGCUCACAUAGGCGACGAUCCCUAGCUGGUCCGAGAGGAUGACCAGCCACACAGGAACUGAGACACGUCCCAGACUCCUAAGGGAGGCAGCAGUGGGGAAUAUGGCGCAAGUGGCGCAAGACAGAUACAGCCAUGCCGCGUGUAUGAAGAAGGCCUUCGGGUUGUAAAGUACUUUCAGCGAGGAGGCGUUACUCGCAGAAGAAGCACCGGCUAACUCCGUGCCAGGGGCCGCGGUAAUUC